rnacentral:ncRNA from 1 species
UAAAAGUUUUAUUCUGGCUUUUAUAUUAAGUAAAUUUAUUUAAUUAUAUGAAAAUCUUUGUGUGUUAUUUUUAUCUUUUAAAUAAAGAUAGAAUAAGAAUAUAUUCUCAGUAGUUAAUUUUAAAUAUUAAGGAAACUUAGAUUUAGAAAUAAAUUUUAAUAUUAACAAAAUUUGUGCCAGCAGUUGCGGUUACACAAAUAAUAUAAUUUAAUAUUUAUAGGUAUAGUUAAUUUAAUAAUUAAUUGAUUUUAUAGAUAAAUUUAUUGGGUGAAAUUUUAAAUUUAUAAAAAAAUUAUUUUAAAUUGGUGAAGCUAGGAAAUUUAAAUAGUAGACUAGGAUUAGAUACCCUAUUAUUUUAAAUGUGAAUUUUAUAUCCUUAAUUAGUAAAAGUUAUGUUCUUAAAAGUUAAAGAAUUUGGCGGUAUUUUAGUCUAUUCAGAGGAACCUGUCCUAUAAUUGAUGAUCCACGAUUAAUCGUACCAUUUUUUUUAAUUUAUAUAUCGUCGUAGUUAAAUAUUUUAGGAGAAUUUUAAUAUUUAUGAUUUUUUAGUAAAAAAUUAAUCAGAUCAAGAUGUAGUUUAUAAAAUGGUAGAGAUGGGUUACAAUAAAAAUAUUUGUGGAUAAAUAGUUGAAAAUUAUAUUUGAAAUUGGAUUUGACAGUAAUUAUAUAUAUAUAUUUAUAAUGAUUUUAGCUCUAAAAUAUGUACAUAUCGCCCGUCGCUUUCAUUCUAAAGUGAAAUAAGUCGUAACAAAGUAGUCUUACUGGAAAGUGAGGCUGGAAAGGC